UUUAGCCAUAUCACUCAGUGGAGGAAAUGCAAGCAACAGCGAUUGCUGCAGUAACGGCGAGUGAAUGGGCAACGCAUGAUCUCUUCCCGAAGUGAAUCCCUACCGCACUGCUCUUGCAGAUGCGUUCGGCUCUCGUGGGUUUCAGCAGAUGCUGUGGGCUGUGGAGUGGAUGGCUGUGCGCUGAUUGAUCAUGCACCAGGAAGUGACCUGGAAUGGUCCACGUUACAGGGAUACUGUCCCAUACUGGUGCUGUGUGCGUGAUCAUAGGCAUGUGGCUGUCUGCAUCCAGGAGUAGAGUGGCUUGGGACUGCAGUUUGAAGUGCAAGGUGUAUCCAUUGCAAGGAAGCAUACUGACAUGGGACCGAUAGCGCACAAGUAGAGUGAUUGAAGGAUGCAAAGGACUUUGCAAAGAGGGUUAAAAGUCCCUGAAGCCUCGGCAGGAACGGCGGAAAGUGGUGCUGUGGUGUCUGGUCUGUGGGACCAUCAGCUGUGCCCCUGGCAUUGGCUGGUGGAUGGCCACCCACGACCAACUGCUUGCUGGACUCCAGCUUGCAGUGAUGUUUGACUAUCCAAGUGACCUUGGGUCAGCCCCUUGCUGGUCACUGAGCCCCUUCCCCACCAGGAUGGGAUGCAAUCGUGGCAGCCUAUGGGUGACACCCUGCCUGUCCGGACCUGAGGUUUGCAGAGAUAUCUCCAGUGAAUCAUGAUGGUGAGGCAACCCACAGUCAAACCCAGUGCUGGAAUGCAUGUUUGCCACAGGUGGACUUCCUCUGUUGAGGCGUGGACCACAUGGUUCCACACUGGUGUCUGAUGCAGCAGUGGUGUAGCCUGAAGAGAAACCAUGGUGAUGAUACACCUGCCCACCCAUGGUGGCAGCAGCGUGUUGGUGCAAGGAUUUGCCAAAUCCUAGUGUUGUCUGCGGACAUCCUAGGUGUGCUGUGCCUGGGCAUGGAUCAGGGGCUGGUGGAUGCAUGGUGACUGCACCACUCUGAUGGUGGUUCCUGUGUGAUCACUGGUCCCCCAGACAGUGCACAGUGCCAAGGCAGCUGAGCUUGGUGCAGCUUGGUGCCGCUCUCUGCCCGUCUUGAAACACGGACCAAGGAGUCUAUGGAGCUUGCAGGUUUGCUGGUGAUUGAGUAAACCACAGGGCGUGGUGAAGGCAAACAUCCCAGAUGGUGCACACCGUUGUGAGAUUGUCUGAUUGGAAGGUGAUGGGUGCCCUCCAAAGCACCACCCAACAGGAGGCUCUCUGUCAACUGGGCAUGUGGAAUCAGCUGUGCCUGCAGGUGGCACUGUGAGCUCUCUCUCUCUGGGCAUGCCUCUGGCAUGAUCAUCAACCCUGAAGGCAGGCUUGCUUGACUCUGUGUGGAUUGCUCUGCAUGGGACACCGGUCCCGAAGUCCAGUGGACAGGGUUCUGAGUGAUUGCAAGGUCCAUGGGACCCGAAAGGUGGUGAACUAUACCGUUCUAUGUCGAAGCCGUGGGAAACUGCGGUGGAGGACAGUCGCUGUUCUGACGUGCAAAUUGUGUAGCCUGAGGGCGGCAUAGGGGUGAAAGGCCAAUCGAGCCACCUAGUAGCUGGUUUCCUUCGAAGUUUCCCUCAGGAUAGCUGGGUUCGAAUGCAACACCACUCCAAGUGGUUACGUCCGGUAAAGCAACGCAUGAGAGGCGCUUGCUGGGAGGCUUUCCUCCUGGACCUAUUCUCGAACUGUGAAUGGGCGUGGCAACACCCCAAAAGGCAUGCUUCUUCACUGGUGCUGGAGUCCGUCUCACCACGGUUCUCCUGGCUUCUGAGCGUGUUUGUGGUCUGGCAACCCUACCACUACCAGAGUUGAUGAUGAUUGGAGCCAACAACCCAUGGUGAUGAUGCUCCCUCUCUCCCUGUGUCCAUCAGUGGUGGGUAUCUCUGUGAUGCCAUCACAACGGUGUGGUGCAUGGGUGUCUGGGUGGAGUCCCUCAGCCAUCAGAUCCAGUGAGAGUCUCUCUGCCUUUGCCUCUGGCAAAUUGAUAUGCUGGUUGCUGUCAUGGUGAACAGACGUGCCUAUGUGGACCAAGAUUGGUAAGCAGUGCUGGUGAUGCGGGGUGCUCCGAGAGUGGACUUACAGAUCCAGAGUGCUGGCUCAUACCCAGAUCCCACAAAGGAUGUUGCUUGCUAGGGAUAGCAGGACGGUGGCCAUGAAGGUUGGAACCCGCUAAGGAAUGUGUAACAACUCACCUGCCGAAGCGUGCAGCUCCGAAAAUGGAUGGAGCCCAAGUCAGUGAAGCUGAAUUUGCCUUACAGUCCACCGCUGCUGUGGCAGCCAAGCAGAGCAUCAGCGUGUAGAAAGGACAUGGGAGACUGCAGCAACAGUUGGGGUUGCCCCUGACUGAAGUGUCUUCUGGAGCAGAUCUUGGUUGUAGUAGCGAAUACUCCAUCGGGUGAAGAGCAGUACAACCCUGCUGUGUGCGGUUGAGGACAGGAGUGGAGCAGGUUUCCGCACCAAACAGCCGUUGAAUGCGGGUCAGCCGACCGUGAGUCAAGUGGUAAUUCACCGAACAACCAAAGCUGCCAUUGCCCAUCGGAUGUAUGGUGUCAGCAGCACCACUGUUGUGCCCCGUGAUGAUGACUGGAGCAGAGGGACAGCAGCAUGCCAGGCAGCAAAGGGCGUUGCACACCGGUGUCAGGGUCAAGCACCCGCACCAAGUAACCAGCAGCAGUGGGCAACCAGCAUCAAGAUGAUGCCUUUGACGCUUGCAUCUCCCCCUCUCUCCACGCACGAGGGCAGCAGCAGCAGAGGGGCUCCCGCACUCACUCUGGUGGUGCACCCUGGCAGGAGUGGCAAACAGGCAAGCAAGUGCAACAUUCUGCUGUGAUGGGCUUGAGGUUCCCUGGUGGUGACACCCUUGUGACUGGAACAAGCAGGCUUAGGGGCAGUGCACCCCCCGAGGAGUUCUCGUUUCCUCCUGAUGCAGGCACAUGUGGGCUAUCGAUUGGCAUGCCACAUGGUGGUGUAUGCCCUCCGCUCAGCAAGGCAGCAUAACAUCUGUGCUGGUGGUCUCAGGAUUGCAUUGUGAACUGGCAGUUGGCCGAGCAGCAGAGCAUAUCACCCAGUGAAUUGCGUUGUGAAGCCAACGGUCAGCAGAAAGGAGCUAUCGGUGGUCACUGGCUCCAAGGAAAGGCCUGUGGGACAACGUGCCUCUAGUCCCUGAUCCUCGUACUGAAUCACCGCAGCCGGUCUCCUCGGCUAGACGCCGCUUGUUGACGGACGAAAUGCAGCUAAGGGAAGUCGGCAAACUGGCCAUGUACCUUUGGAAGAUGUGGUGGCUCCAGAGGUCAAGUCGCAAGGUCCAGCUGUGGACUGUGUGGAGUGGAGGUGGCUGCUGCACGUGGUGGUUCCGGCCAUCGUGUGUGGAUUGGCUGCCUCUGCCAGCACCGUUUCUGUGGCUGGGGGUCAGACUGCCUUCGGGUAGCUCUGCACCCACCCUGGCGUCUAUGAAGUGACUCAUGUGGAACUGUUGCUGUGCAGGGGAAUCUGACUGUUUAAUUGAAACACAGCUUUGUGAUGGGUCCAGCUGGCUGGUCCCAUGAGGUGACUUCUGCCCAGUGCUCUGAUUGUCAAUGCGAAGAGAUUCAGCCAAGCGCGGGUAAACGGCGGGAGUAACUAUGACUCUCUUAAGGUAGCCAAAUGCCUCGUCAACCAAUUAUUGACGCGCAUGAAUGGAUCAACGAGAUUCCUGCUGUCCCUAGUUGCCGUCUGGUGAACCAACAGCCAAGGGAACGGGCUUGGAUGUGUCAGCGGGGAAAGAAGAGCCCUG
rnacentral:rRNA from 1 species